ACUGGCAAAUACCACCUCUGGCAGGACCCAGAUUGGGGUGGGAAUGGAGAUUUUGCAAUAUCCUUCCCCUGGAGUGGGAUGGGAAUGGAGAUUUUGCAGUAUCCUUCCCCUGCCACGCCCACCAAGUCACAUCCACCAAGCCACGCCCAUAUAACCGGUAGUAAAAAAAGAUCGGAUUUCACCACUGGUAAGGAUGCUCAAUAUCAGUCUUUCUCAACCUCAUAAACUAAUAUGUGUACUUUAACUUCCAGAAUUCUCCAACAAGGAUUUGGGAAAUUGAAGUCCACACAUUGUGAAGUUAUUAAGAGAGAGAAGACUGCUCUACACUAUCACAUUUAACUCAACUAUUCUAAUUUACCUUAAAGGUUCCCCCCACCCUCACUUCCUUCAGUGAAGCAGUAGAAUAUAUUUCCAAAUUUAGCCCUGAGUUACUCAGUUCACUACUUUAUUUUCUAAGCGUACCUAUGAGGCUUACAUGGCCCAAAGGCAUUCUAGAAAUAAAGACAUUUCACAUUUAACCCAUGCAGUCUUUCAAAAGCUACAUAAUGGACUCUUGUUCUUGCUUGCGUAUAAAAAUGUAUAGUAAUUAUUUGAUCUUAGCCAAAAGGCCAAGAAUUGAAUUAUAAUUUGAAAUAUUUUUUAAAAUAAAAUGUUGCAUCAGUGGUAUUUAACUUUUCAAAGAUGCAUAAAGAUAUAUCAAAUAAGUGUUGGAUAUGUGAUCAACAUGAAGAUAGCUUUUAACCUAUUUCAUGGACAAGUAAAAAGACCAAGAGAUAUUGCAAUCAGAUAUAUGGCUUAAUUCUUAAAAUAUUAAAAAUGGAUGUAAAAUUGAAAACGGAAACUUUUCUUCUGAGCAUCAUAGAUAAACAGAUUGAAAGAAAACAUGGGACUUUUGUUCUUAUAUAUGACAAAUGGCAAUGAGAUUUUUAUAUGCAAAGGGGUGGAAAGAUAGACAAAUCCCCAGAAAUGAAGAUUUGAUUGUGACAUCAAUGUCACUGGCAGAGGUAGCAUAAUUGGCUACUUUGAAAGAUAUAAGUUUAUCUACCUUUGUUUCUACAUGGAGAUCACUUCUGGACUUCUUGCUUGAAAAAGAUAAAAAUGAAAAUCUGAUUUUAGAAUGUGAUCAUUAGACUUGUCAUGAUUAUAGAAAUAUUGUGGUUUUUAUUAUUUUAUUAUUAUUAAUAUAUAUCGUACAUUCUUAAAUUUAAAAUAAAUUGUUAUUUUGUUAUAUAAUUUUGGAAGGGUUGAAUAGCUUAGUUUGCAUGAUGUUUUGCUUUGAUUUAGAGUAAGAGGUUACUUUAUUAUAUAUUGUACCUAUACUGAAGAAAGUUGGAAGGCAAAAAAAUCAGGGGUUUCCACAAAGAAGAGGGAGUCAAACUAUUCUCCAAAGCAGCUGAGGCCAGGACAAGAAGCAAUGGGUGGAAACUAAUCAAGAAGAGAAGCAACCUAGAACUAAGGAGAAAUUUUCUGACAGAACAAUUAAUCAAUGGAAUGACUUGCCCCUAGAAGUUGUGGAUGUUUUUAAGAAGAGACUGGACAACCAUUUGUCUGAAAUUAUAUAGGGCUUCCUGCCUGAGCAGGGGGUUGGACUAGAAGACAUCCAAGGUCCCUUCCAAUACUAUUAUUCUGUUCCAUUAUUCAGUCUUUAUGGAUUUUUAUAUUUCUUUCUUUUCUUUUUCUUUCUUUUUGGCACUUUUUAACAAAUGGUUGUUGAAUCUUUUCUUGAAAAUCUCCAGGGAUGAAGAACUCCAACUCCGGGAGCUGAUUAAUCUUUCUCCCUGUCAGGAAAUUCUUCCUUAUUUCCACAUUGACUCUUCCUCUGAUGAGCUUCCACCCAAUCCUUCUUGUCUUGAUUGCAUUGCAAAUGUCUUAUGGGCUCUUCUCUAACUAAACUCUAACUAAAGAGUUUGUUUGUCCUCCAGUAACUCUUAGCUACUUGAGUGUUUGUUGUGCCUGCUGAGGUGAGGCUUUGACCACUGAAUAAAAACAUGGCCUGCUGUCACUCUCUUAUCCCUUCUAUUAGAAGGAAAAUAUUUAUCUGUGCAUCAGAGCAUUCCUGGAAAUGGGAAUCUAAGCAAUGAUUAGUGACUGUUUCACAGCUAGUUAAUUUGGACCACUUCAUAUGCCUUACAGAUUGUGAUGGUAUCACUUGAGAAUUUUUCCAAUGAUGUUCCAAGCCUUUCCAUUGAACACCUGGUUGGAUUCUGGAACCAGUAGGCUACAACAGCACUUAUAAUGACUAUAUCCAAAUUAUUGUUUGUUUGUUUUUGUUUGUUUGUUUGUUUUCUGAGUCCAAGAGGUCCCUUGUUUUGUUUUGUUUUUUAUUUGCAUUUAUAUCCUGCCCUUCUCCGAAGACUCAGGGCGGCUUACACUAUGUCAAGCAAUAGUCUUCAUCCAUUUGUAUAUUAUAUACAAAGUCAACUUAUUGCCCCCAACAAUAAGUUGGAGUUGUAUUCAGUUGCUUGGUAGUUGAAGCAACAGACGAGAGAUCUGGAACAUUAGUUCAAAAAAAAGAAAAAUGAAUAGGAUAGGAUAGAAUAGAAUAGAAUAGAAUAGAAUAGAAUAGAAUAGAAUAGAAUAGAAUAGAAUAGAAUAGAAUAGAAUAGAAUAGAAUAGAAUUUUUUAUUGGCCAAGUGUGAUUGGACACACAAGGAAUUUGUCGUGGUACAUAUGCUCUCAGUGUACAUAAAGGAAAAGAUACCUUCAUCAAGGUACAACACUUACAACACUAAAUGAUAGUCAUAGGGUACAAAUUUAAUGAUACAACACUUAAUGAUAGUCAUAGGCUACAAUUAAGCAAUCAGGAAUUUGAGUAUAGAUAAGAGCCUAGAUUCAGGCCUAUUCUAUGGUGAUAAAGUUAGUAAAGUGCCAAUUCUUCUCUGUGCUUAUGUCAACCAGCAAUCAUGUUGGAAAUGAUUCGCGCUCACUUUAGGAAAAGAAGAAUGAUGGGGAAAAACCGCCAUGCCGACACUAUUCACAUGUUUGCACAAUAGAUCAUCAGUAAAUCCACGCAGAUUUGAUUCUGAAGUGAUGACUGUUGUGGGGUCUUGCAUUCAUAUUGAAUUCAUAUUAGUGGACUAGUGGCCAGAGUUCUGUGGCUCCCACCAAAUGGAAGACCCUGUCCCCAAGGAUUCAGACUGCACCCAUGCUGGACAUGUAGAAGGACCUUAAGAAUAGAGCUUCUCCCUUUGAGCAUUUAGUGCACAAUUACAUUUUGGAAUUCGCUACCCCAUUCAUGGACUUUGGACAUUGUGGACCAGUUCAUGGAAGUCAGUGGCUACAUGUGUUCCUUGACUUACAAACCGUACAUUUAGCAACCUAUCUUAGUUACAACAGUGCUGAAAGAAGUGACUUAAAAAACAGUCCUCACAUUUAUGAGCCUCCUUGGCAACUGGCUUGCAUUUAUAUGGUUGCACCAUCCAAGGGUCAUUUUCAUAUGGUUUCUGAGAAGCAAAGUAAACAUGAAAAGCUAGAUUUGCUUAACGACCAUGGCAAAAAAAAAAAGAUUGCAAAAACACAAUGAGUACUUAACUGUAUUGCUUAGCAACAGAAGUUCGAGUGCCAAUUGUGGUCAUAAUUCAAGGACUACUUUCAUUAGCCUUGAUGGCUGCAAGAAGGCUAUCUGCUGGAACUCUAGUGUACAACUGCCACUGUGGGAAUAGACUGCUGGACUAGAUUGGCCAGUUGCACGGUUUAUGUUCCUGCUACUCAGAGGUAAGUGUGAAGAAGCAAAGAAUCAUUCUGGACUUUAGCCCAUCUUCAAUUUAGUCCUGAUGUAGAGAUUUUAUUUCUACUCUUCUGGUUCUAUUCUUACUUGGGAACAAACUUUCUUUCGAGAAAAUAUGGACAGAGGGAAAUAAAUAUGAAUACUACAGGAACAUUACACUAAAGACAAGACAAAAAAGAUCCUUUUUCCAUAUUUGGUAGUCCCCUCACUUCCCCAGAAAUAAAUCAUUGCCAAGUUUUAUUUUUAUUUACACAGCCCAUCCUCAUUUAAAAUUAUGCUGUAUUUUUUUUUUAAAAAUGGGAAAUCAAAGGCAGUUCUCAAUUGUGCACUCUGGUUAACAUGGAUACAAAGUAUAAAGUACACAUGUACAAAGUAUACAUGUUUACUGGA